CAAGCACCCAGUGUGGAGCAGCUUUUGGCACUUUGUUUUUCAGCAGGACUUCUGAAUCUUAAACCACAAGCUUCCAUAGUCUGAGUCAGAGAAACCAGACAGAUUGGCUGCUGUAUCUAUACUGCAGAAGCAGAUGUUCAAGAAAUUACUCUGAGACUUAAAAUGGUGUUUAAUUGGAAUCACCUGGAAAAAAAUGGGCAACACUUGGAAAAUCUACUUGAUGAUAGAGAUUUGAGAAGGCUUCUUGAAACAAUACAGGUUUGAAGGUCAGACAGCAGAAUGCAAGGGCAAAGAAGAACCAAUGUGACUGUAUUGGUAGCAUAUGUGAGCAGAGGCCAAGCAAGUAAAAAGGAGGAGAAUUCACUGCUAGCUGGGGAAGCUUCCUGAAC